CCUACGGGAGGCAGCAGUGGGGAAUAUUGGGCAAUGGGCGAAAGCCUGACCCAGCAACGCCGCGUGAAGGAAGAAGGCUUUCGGGUUGUAAACUUCUUUUGACAGGGAAGAGUAGAAGACGGUACCUGUCGAAUAAGCAACGGCUAACUACGUGCCAGCAGCCGCCGUAAUACGGAGGGGGCAAGUGUUGUCCGGGUUUACUGGGUGUAAAGGGCGUGUAGGCGGGUUGACAAGUCAGAUGUGAAAUCCUGCGGCUUAACCGCAGAACUGCAUUGGAAACUGUUGAUCUUGAGUACUGGUGAGGCAGACGGAAUUCCUAGUGUAGCGGUGAAAUGCGUAGAUAUUAGGAGGAACACCAGUGGCGAAGGCGGCCUGCGGGACAGCAACUGACGGUGAGGCUCGAAAGCGUGGGGAGCAAACAGGAUUAGAUACCCCUGUAGUC
rnacentral:rRNA from 1 species